UACAGUAAACCCCCAACCCCGCCCCAUCUAAGAUUAUGUCAAAUCUGUAAUUCCGGAGAGGUUGAAGAUGAAGUGCAUUUUAUUCUGAAAUGCGAGGCCUAUAAGGAACUACGGGCGGCUUUCUACGAAAAUAUAAGUUUCCUAUGUAAUACUAAUGCCCUCUCUCCCCCGGAUAUGUUUAUACACAUCAUGAAUACAAAAGAAAUGGAUGUGAUUACGCCCCUCCUCAUAUUUGUACAGAAAUGCAUGGAGAAGAGAGUAAGUCUUUCUGCGCAUGUCCAAACCAGAUCAUAGUACCAGUGUGAGACCCGUUAUGCGCUGUCAGCAGAGACUGGGCGUGUAGAUCAAACCUGAGCGUUAUCAAAACGAGACUGUGUCAACAAUGUCAAAGUCACGUCAACAGUGGUCGGUGUUCACACGCCGGUGGCGUGAUAGACCCGUGCCGUGACGAAACCGUUCUGCACAUGCGCAUUGAGGGUAGAUUGAAAGAAGGGACUUCCGGUAUGACGGUAUCGUCGUAGAUUGAUUGGCAGAAGAAAAUAGCUAGAAGCAUUUCAAUAAACGGAAAUAAUGGCAGGAAAAAUGGGAAGCUCUUCCAAGUCUGGGUCUGACAUUUCCAGCUUGACUUUGACACCUGGGGCACUACAAAAAGAUUGGAUCCACCCUGACCCCUCACUUAGCCACGAGCUACCAGAGAGAGAAGGAUGUCUUCAAGUAUGGAGAAAUAUGUCGAGUUCAGGGAGACCAUGUUGAUGGUAAAAAAAUAUCUGAAGGCAGGAAAGCCACGUGAUUUUUUGGAUGACCCCAAAAUGCUUAGAAAGAUCAGAUAUAAAGCCAAGGUGCAUGUUUUGGAUGAGGGUAAGAUUUUUAUAUUUUCAUGUAAUAUUAAAGGGAUAAUAA